rnacentral:rRNA from 1 species
AAAACGACUCUCGGCAACGGAUAUCUCGGCUCUCGCAUCGAUGAAGAACGUAGCGAAAUGCGAUGCACUUGGUGUGAAUUGCAGAAUCCCGUGAACCAUCGAGUCUUUGAACGCAAGUUGCGCCCCAAGCCUUCUGGCCGAGGGCACGUCUGCCUGGGUGUCACAA